GAAGCCUAACUUCUGGAAUGCCAAGGAAAGCCUCACAGGAAGGUGUCUUUCUGGAGACUUUCUGCUGUGAAACCACCCAGGGAGGGUGCUGGGGUUUGCAGAUCUUUCAGUGUGUGAGGACCUCAGACUGAUAAGCAUAAGGCUAAGAAAGGAUACUUCUAAGAGCAGCCACUGAAGGAUACUCAAAAAGCUUCACACUUCAUAAAAGACGGGACAUUUUAACAACAAAAUACUGGGAAAACCUCAGUCUCAGAAUUACUCGAGUCAAUAUUCACAGUUAAUCGAAUGGAGGAAAGAACAAUUUUCUUUUUGGAACAAGACUCAACAGUGAAUCCCAGCUCUGCCAAUUAUUCCUUAUAUGGCACUGGCUGAGAUAAUUAAUAUUUCUGAGCCUCACAAAUAAAAUCACGCA